AGGAUUAACGCUGGCGGCGUGCCUAACACAUGCAAGUCGAACGAGGGGGGCAACCCCCGAGUGGCAGACGGGUGAGUAACGCGUGGUCAACCUACCCUAGAGUGGGGAAUAACUAGCCGAAAGGUUAGCUAAUACCGCAUGAUACGUUUUGGGACAUCCCAGGACGUUGAAAGGAGCAAUCCGCUCGAGGACGGGACCGCGUCCGAUUAGCUAGUUGGUGAGGUAACGGCCCACCAAGGCUCCGAUCGGUAGCUGGUUUGAGAGAGCGACCAGCCACACUGGGACUGAGAAACGGCCCAGACUCCUACGGGAGGCAGCAGUGAGGAAUUUUCCGCAAUGGGCGAAAGCCUGACGGAGCGACGCCGCGUGUGGGAAGAAGGCCUUCGGGUCGUAAACCACUGUCGAAGGGGACUAUACUGAAGGUACCUUGGAGGAAGCCCCGGCUAACUACGUGCCAGCAGCCGC
rnacentral:rRNA from 1 species